CCUACGGGGGGCAGCAGUGGGGGAUAUUGCACAAUGGGGGAACCCUGAUGCAGCGACGCCGCGUGGGUGAAGAAGCGCCUCGGCGCGUAAAGCCCUGUCAGCAAGGAAGAAAAUGACGGUACCUGAAGAAGAAGCCCCGGCUAACUACGUGCCAGCAGCCGCGGUAAUACGGAGGGGGCAAGCGUUAUCCGGAUUUACUGGGUGUAAAGGGGGCGCAGACGGCGAUGCAAGCCAGGAGUGAAAGCCCGGGGCCCAACCCCGGGACUGCUCUUGGAACUGCGUGGCUGGAGUGCAGGAGGGGCAGGCGGAAUUCCUGGUGGAGCGGUGAAAUGCGUAGAUAUCAGGAGGAACACCGGUGGCGAAGGCGGCCUGCUGGACUGCAACUGACGUUGAGGCCCGAAAGCGUGGGGAGCAAACAGGAUUAGAUACCCGUGUAGUC
rnacentral:rRNA from 1 species